GACGAACGCUGGCGGCGUGCCUAACACAUGCAAGUUGAGCGACGAACCAGGGCUUGCCCUGGGGCAAAGCAGCGAACGGGUGAGUAACACGUGGGUAACGUACCCCGAUAACCGGGACAACCCGAGGAAACUCGAGCUAAUACCGGAUGUGCUCUUCACACUUCAGUGUGAUCAGUAAAGGAAGCUUCGGCCUCCGCAUCGGGAGGGGCUCGCGGCCCAUUAGCUAGUUGGUGGGGUAGCGGCCCACCAAGGCUGCGGUGGGUAGCUGGUCUGAGAGGACGAUCAGCCACACUGGGACUGAGACACGGCCCAGACUCCUACGGGAGGCAGCAGUGGGGAAUCUUGCGCAAUGCGCGAAAGCGUGACGCAGCAACGCCGCGUGGGGGAAGAAGGCCUUCGGGUUGUAAACCCCUUUCAGGAGGGACGAAGGUUCGGCGGUGAACAGCCGACCGGACUGACGGUACCUCCACAAGAAGCCCCGGCUAACUACGUGCCAGCAGCCGCGGUAACAC
rnacentral:rRNA from 1 species